rnacentral:rRNA from 1 species
AGUGAACGCUGGCGGUAGGCCUAACACAUGCAAGUCGAACGACAGCACAGGAGAGCUUGCUCUCUGGGUGGCGAGUGGCGGACGGGUGAGGAAUACAUCGGAAUCUACUUUUUCGCGGGGGAUAACGUAGGGAAACUUACGCUAAUACCGCAUACGACCUACGGGCGAAAGCAGGGGACCUUCGUGCCUUGCGCGAUUGAAUGGGCCGGUUUCGGAUUAGCUAGUGGGCGGGGUAAAGGCCCACCAAGGCGACGAUCCGUAGCUGGUCUGAGAGGAUGAUCAGCCACACUGGAACUGAGACGCGGUCCAGACUCGUACGGGAGGCAGCAGUCGGGAAUAUUGGACAAGGGGCGCAGGCCUGAUCCAGACAUACCGCGUGGGUGAAGAAGGCCUUCGGGUUGUAAAGCCCUUUUGUUGGGAAAGAAAUCCAGCUGGCUAAUACCCGGUUGGGAUGACGGUACCCAAAGAAUAAGCACCGGCUAACUUCGUGCCAGCCGCCGCGGUAA